GAUUAAAGGUGAGUGCCACCAACAUCCGGCUUGUUCAUUCUUUUUAUACAUGGUGAGAUGGGCUAAAUUGGAAGCCAGCAGUAGUCCACCACAUUGACUCAUCUACCUACUUGUCCGUUGGCAUCACCGGCAACUCUGGGGACAAGCUGUAUGCCUGGUUCUGAGUCCAGAUUCAGGGAAGCAGUGGUGGGGGAGGUGGGCCCCAUCUUGGCCAUCAGAGGCUUCCAUUCUCUUGGGAAGGUAUCAAAGAACAUCAAAGAGGAGAUAGGAGUGCAAAAGGAGAAAUAGUUGAGUAUUCCCCUCCCUCUCUAAUGGGUAUAGGGGGCAAACGUGCAGUGAGAACUGAGGAGGGGGUAGAUGGGAGCCAGAAAUGAGGAAGGGGUGGGAAUGUAGAGCAGGCAGAGCGAUCAGAAUGGUGGGAGGGUUCUGAGGGGAGGUUAGGUGGAUGAGUGUAGCCUGAGGCCAUUUGCAUUGCCAGUGUCCUGAGUGGUCCCCAGGUACGGACUUGGAAAUCACAACACUAUACAACCAGGCUUUCCUGUACCCAGGUUCUAAUCCAUGGAUUCAAUCAACCUCAGAUUGGAAAUAUUCUGGGAGAAAAACAAAAAACAAACCCAAACCAAACCCUCUGGGCAUCAUAGUUCGUAUUUGUAAUCCCACUACUUGGGGACUGAGGCAGGAGGAUGGCUGCAAGUUUAAGGGCAGCCUUGUUUACAAGCCAUGCCUUGUUCCCCCAAACAAAAACAAGGGGCUGGAGAGAUGAUUGGGUGGUUAAGAGCUCUUGUUGCUAUAGCAGAGGAUGGGAUUUGGUUCCCAGCUCCUACUUGGGUGGCUCUCUAUUGCCUAUAGUUGCAGCCACAGGGGAUUUGACACAUAAGCAGGAAAGAUAAGCUCACAAAAGGAGAAGUGAACCCCCUAAAUUUCAGGAACACACAUAGGGCUGAAAAGAGGGCUGAACACAGCCUUUCUCAUUCUACCAGGGGCCUGUUGCCAUGAAGGUUGGGGCCCUGGCUGGGAUUGUGGCUCUGCCCCAGACCUUAUUUCUUACCUGGGCAGCACCUGGUCUGUAUCCAGGUUGGUGAGAUAGAGAGUUCAGGACUUGGCACAGGGUCAGCUGCUGAACCCAUCUAUAUCUUCCAACCUUAAGCGACGUCCCCUGUGAACAUCAGGGGAGAUUAUUCACUAGCCUUCCUGGCAGGGGUGGCUCUCUCAGCAUCUCCUUCAGGGUUAGGGGGUUGGUGGGACACUGUGAAUCAUGAAGACAAAGGCAAGGAGGACCCAUGGCUUGUGAUGGUGCAAGCUAAAGCAAGCAGGAAGCCUGGUCCCUUUGGAAGGAUUAGGUGAGUCCUCAGGAUUCUGAACUGGCAGUUCCUUCUGCCUGUCCCAACCCUUCUUCUCACCUUCUCCUCAGCUGGGCUUUUGGAUGCCCCUGGGCAGAGGUGAAGGGUUUUUCAGCAGUGACUGCAGAGGAGGGCCUAUCUCUCAGGGUCUUCAGGCCUUCAAAUGGGGUCAGGGCACAUACAGGUGAAACAGGAGGGGAUGUCACAGUCACACACCAACACCCACGCUAGCUCCACAGUCACCAGUGCAUGCAACUUCAGGAAACCUGUGACUUCUCAGAAAGGGACAGGAGGUCCCCAGCUGAUGGUUUGUGUACCUGAUCAGAGUGCACUUACAGAACGUGUUGGUAUAUAACACAUUUGAAGUCACUAGAUAAAUCAAUUGUUGUCUCCUGUCCAGCCCAGGUCACAAAGAGGAGGUGGGGGCUGGGAUUUGAAUCGGGACCUUCGUGAUACCAGGUGGGGCAGGCAGCACCAGGAACCCCUGCCAGUCCCUGGGGGCAGUGACUCAGGGGCAGGUCCCCACAUCCCUUCUCCUACCCCUCCCUUUCCAGCUGACUCAGCCAGACUGUCCAGGGCCUUUCUCUGGAAUUCUGGGCCCCAGGCAGUGUUCUUGGUCACCUCCUCUUGUAGGCAGGACACACCCUUAAUAGAGACACUACACUAGCUGCCGUCUGACCUCAGUCUCCUCUCUGCUGCAGGUUUGCUGGGUUGAACAUCUCUUCCAACCACUUUGGGGGAAGAGGAGGCACACACAAGACCCUUGCGGAAGCUGGGAGGGAGAAGAGUAAUGGAGCAGAAGCCACAAGAACACAGUAUUAGAAGGGAUGUUUAAUGGUAUUCAUCCACCCACCAGCUGGGGACACCUGGGGACAGCUGAGCAGGUGCAUCUGAUGACUAUGGAGAUGUGGGCAUGGUGCUGAGUGUCUGCUGCCUCCAGGCAAGUGUGUGUAUGUGCAUGUGAGUGUAUGCGUGUAUACAAUUGUGUGUGCAUGUAUGUGCAUCGAAGUGUGGUAUCUACAUAGUUGUGUAUAUGAUUAUGUGUAACCAUGUGUUCACGUGUGUCUCUAUAACUGUGCAUAUGUGAGUGUAUCUGUUAGAUGUGUGUGUAAAAUUGUGCAUGUGCCUUUGAGUGUGUCUAUGUAACCAUGUGUGUCCAUGUGAGUGUGGCAUUGUAAAUAUGUGUAUAGUUGUGUGUGUGUGUGUAACCAUGUACAUGGUAUGUGUGUAAUCCUGUGUAUUCCUGCUGGUAUGUCUGUGAAUAGUGAAUGUAUCUGUGUGUCCAUGUGAAUGUGUCUGUGAAGCCAAGUGUGUGUCUGUGAGUAUGUAUGUGACCGUGUGUGCACAUGUGGCUGUUUCAGGAUCUCUACAGCUUCUUUAAGACUGGCUCUGGGACCUGAUGUGACCCAGUGACCCCCAUGCUGUUGCCCUGUCAGCUUACAGUGGACUCUUAGUUUCAGUGCCUAAUCCUUGGCCCUGUUUUCCCCUCUGAUGAGAGAAUAAUUAACCAAGGACUCAUUUUCCAGGCUUCCUUCCCAUUAUCCCUGCCAAAUGAAAAUAAUCACUACAGGGAGGAGACGCUGCUUGCUGUGGGAAGCAUAGAGUCAGGGUGUCCAUGGCCCCAGAGGAGAGGUACUCCUUGGGAGGGAACCUGGAGCCUGGGAAGGAAAAAGGGCCCGGGCUGGAUCAGCACUACCCCACGUGUGGCAAGUUCUAGCCCUCCCCGGCCUCUGUAGGUGUGUAGGUUUGCACUAGAAUUCGAUCCUUCUAAGGGGGUUCUUUUGAAGGUGAAAAGGUGAUAUUCCAAACAAAACCAAGCCAACCACAGCCCGUGGUUGCUUAAGGCUGGAAAAAGAACUAGGUUAUGUGGGUAAACGAGGACUGUUCCUUCAGGGCCUUUGUGGUUGAACCUUGUUUCCUUGGGGGAGUGAUGUGUUGAAUCCAGAAGGUAAUGGGUGGGUUGGGGACUCACACAUCUUUCCAGCUCCUUCUGUGUCCUCUCAACCCUGCUACUCUCACGCUGAGGGCACUUUCCAGUGCCCGGAGAGCAGCUACCACGUGACUGCAGACAUACCUUAUUGUGAGAGUGAGUGCUAGUCCCCAAGGUGGAGGGGAGUUUUGAGGCUGCUUAUCUCAAGUAAUUGUCUUUAACCACAAAGCCCUCCUCAAGCAUCUCAGAUUACAGUCUGGAGGAACAGCCACUGAGAAAUGCAAGCAUCCUGGUCCCCAUGUACCAUCAACUUGACUCAGGAAGGGAGGUGCAGUGUGGAUGUCUGCAGGGACUGACUCCCAUCUUUGGAAAGGCUAUUAUCCCAGAAGAUGGACAAGUGUGCAAGUUCUGCCUGCUUCUGAGGCCCUGUCCCACACUUUACAGCUACUUCCUGAGAAACAGACACGGGUUAUGCCCAGGUAUGUGGCUCCAGGAAGAGUGGAUAUAUACCGUACAGGUUGGUGGGUGUGAUGGGGUCCUAUGUGUGAGGUCUCAACCCAGAGCCUGCUAAGUUGAUGUAACCUGUUUGCCGCAGGACGUGUGUGGCUAGCGCAGCGAACACUUCUUGUUGUCCAGGGCUCCGGGUGGCCAGUUGCACCCUGGCUUCGGGCAUGUGGUGGGUGCGGACAGCUGUUGCACGCGUGGCCCGGGCUAGGUGCGCA